rnacentral:lncRNA from 1 species
CCUGCACGCCAGCUCCAGGACUGUUCAAAAGCAGCUCUGCGUGUUUUAAGCACAGUGUCUAUGAAUAAUUAACCCCCAAACAACUACAAGUAACAUUUCCUCAUCAGCGAGCCAUGUGGUCGAAGCUGCCCAAGGAGAAGCGUGGGUUAGGCUGACUCAGCUCCUGAGGGCAAUGAAUCAGAGUGAAAUGCCCUUGAAAGGGUAAGUCCUGCCUGGAUGGUGAAGCAAGAAGGAGCUGAGGUGGGCUUUGCUAAGGGCCUCUGAUGGGAAUGGUUGACAUCUGAGCCUCCUUCCAACCCCCUUGCAGGAUUCCUCAUUGCUGCCUUUCUUCAGAGCAAGAAGAGCUGGUUUGGUUGCUGUCCUUCAAAUGAUGGAUCUUAUCACGUGGGAAAAAGAAAAAAAGCAAACCACCUGCAAACAGCCACAGGUGUGGACAAGACCAAGGACUGAAGCUGAAGGGUGUGCAAGCUCCCAUCUGCGUGCCAGCCUGGGCGUACUGUAAGGUGGAGACAUCUGCAACUUCAUGCGCUGCACCAUGGAUGGGCUUUCUUCUUGUCAGGAGUGUUUGCCUUUGGGAUCCUCCUAUUGUUGGGGCACCACCGAGAGGAUUACUGUUUGCUCUUUGCUUCUGCAUUCACCUCUAGUCGCAGAUGCAGCCAGGCCUUCCCAACCAGCUGCUUUUCCUGAGCUGCAGGAGCAGAAGACAAGCCCAGGCAGGGCCAUCUGCAGCAGCUGCUGUGCUCCAGCAGGGCAGUCAGGCUGAGGCAUGCUGCAGUGCUGCUCCUCUCCUCUACCCACCUCGUGGAUGCAUCAAGCGCUUCUGUUUACACGGCCAUCAGUCUGGCAGCUUUCCUCAACACUAAAUUUACUUUUUGAAGUUACAUCAGUGUUGUACCCAGAGGGAAUGGAGGAACAGAUGCAGCCUGUGAAGUCUGGCUUUAAUUCACCUGCCUCAUUUAAUUUCCUGCCCUGCCUUCUAAUCAAUGAGUCUGCACUGGCAGCCCUGGGAAUACAGAGGUUUUCUCACAUACAGGAGACCUCUCACCUACAGGAGAUCUCAGGGUCUCCAGCAGGCCAUGUCCCGUCUCCUUCGAGGCUCUCUGUGCCCCAGAAGCACUGCACACACACAGUGGCUGCAUCGCAUUUCCUCCAUGGGGCCACUGGUGGUCCUUCACCAG